rnacentral:rRNA from 1 species
UACGAAGGGGGCUAGCGUUGUUCGGAAUCACUGGGCGUAAAGCGCACGUAGGCGGAUUUAUUAGCAGGGGUGAAAUCCCAAGGCUCAACCUUGGAACUGCCUUUGAUACUGGGGAUCUCGAGUCCGGAAGAGGUUGGUGGAACUGCGAGUGUAGAGGUGAAAUUCGUAGAUAUUCGCAAGAACACCAGUGGCGAAGGCGGCCAACUGGUCCGGUACUGGACGCUGAGGUGCGAAAGCGUGGGGAGCAAACAGG